UUAAAAAAAGUGGCUUGGUUAAAGAAAAUUCUCUGAAGCCUAAGCGAAAGCAAGUUUAAAAAGCUCUAGUCACUUUUUUUAGACCCGAAACCGAGUGAUCUAUCUAUGAUCAGGGUGAAAGUCUUAAAAAACUGAAGGCCCGAACCGACUAAUGCUGAAAAAUUAGCGGAUGAAUUGUGGAUAGGGGCGAAAAACCAAUCGAACUCGGAGUUAGCUGGUUCUCCCCGAAAUGCGUUUAGGCGCAGCAGUAGUAAAACAAAUAGAGGGGUAAAGCACUGUUUCGUUUGGGGGCUUCGAAAGUUGUACCUCAAUGUGGCAAACUCUGAAUACUCUAUUUUGAUAGCUACUAGUGAGACUUUGGGGGAUAAGCUCCAUAGUCAAAAGGGAAACAGCCCAGAUCACCAGUUAAGGCCCCAAAAUGAAAGUGAUAGUGACUAAGGAUGUGAGUAUGCUAAAACCUCCAGUAGGUUCGCUUAGAAGCAGCAAUCCUUUCAA
rnacentral:rRNA from 1 species